AGCUUUGUGCAUUAGCAGUAUUGUAGCUAAUGAUGUUUCUCUGAGUCACAAUUACUACUAAUUGAAAAAUUAGUUGUCAAUAAUG
ensembl:snRNA U4 U4 spliceosomal RNA